rnacentral:rRNA from 1 species
AGUGGCGGACGGGUGAGUAGCGCGUGGGCAACCUGCCCUGUACCGGGGGGACAACAGCCAGAAAUGGCUGCUAAUACCGCAUAAGCCUGCGGUGCCGCAUGGCACAGCAGGGAAAACCACGGUGGUACAGGAUGGGCCCGCGUCUGAUUAGUUAGUUGGCAGGGUAACGGCCUACCAAGACGAUGAUCAGUAGCCGGCUUGAGAGAGUGGACGGCCACAUUGGGACUGAGACACGGCCCAGACUCCUGCGGGAGGCAGCAGUGAGGAAUAUUGGUCAAUGGUCGGGAGACUGAACCAGCCAAGCCGCGUGAGGGAGGAAGGUACAGAGUAUCGUAAACCUCUUUUGUCAGGGAACAAAGGCGGGGACGUGUCCCCGGAUGAGUGUACCUGAAGAAAAAGCAUCGGCUAACUCCGUGCCAGCAGCCGCGGUAAUACGGAGGAUGCGAGCGUUAUCCGGAUUUAUUGGGUUUAAAGGGUGCGCAGGCGGUCUGUUAAGUCAGCGGUCAAAGCCCGGGGCUCAACCCCGGCCCGCCGUUGAAACUGGCAGUCUCGAGUUGGAGAGAAGUAUGCGGAAUGCGCGGUGUAGCGGUGAAAUGCUUAGAGAUCAUACAGAACACCGAUUGCGAAGGCAGCUUACCAAGCUGAAUCUGACGUUGAGGCACGAAAGCGUGGGUAGCAAACAGGAUUAGAUACCCUGGUAGUCCACGCAGUAAACGAUGAUAACUCGUUGUCGGCGAUACAGUGUCGGUGACUAAGCGAAAGCGAUAAGUUAUCCACCUGGGGAGUACGUUCGCAAGAAUGAAACUCAAAGGAAUUGACGGGGGCCCGCACAAGCGGAGGAACAUGUGGUUUAAUUCGAUGAUACGCGAGGAACCUUACCCGGGCUUGAAAGUUAGUGACGGAUCUUGAAAGAGGUCUUCCCUUCGGGGCACGAAACUAGGUGCUGCAUGGUUGUCGUCAGCUCGUGCCGUGAGGUGUCGGGUUAAGUCCCAUAACGAGCGCAACCCCUACCGUUAGUUGCCAUCAGGUCAAGCUGGGCACUCUGGCGGGACUGCCGGUGUAAGCCGAGAGGAAGGUGGGGAUGACGUCAAAUCAGCACGGCCCUUACGUCCGGGGCUACACACGUGUUACAAUGGCAGGUACAGAGGGCAGCUACCCCGCGAGGGGAUGCGAAUCUCGAAAGCCUGUCUCAGUUCGGAUUGGAGGCUGAAACCCGCCUCCAUGAAGUUGGAUUCGCUAGUAAUCGCGCAUCAGCCAUGGCGCGGUGAAUACGUUCCCGGGCCUUGCACACACCGCCCGUCAAG